CCACAAACCAACCAGCUUGUUUCUCUUCGGUUAGAUUCGAAGGCGCUUAUUCGCUACUAUUUGGAUUAUUCAGUUUUUGGGCUCUCAGGCCUUGCAAAGCAACAUGGGUGGGCAAAGAAUGAGAAAGGAGAUCAAGAAAAGAAAAUGGGUGGUGUCGAAAAGGUUGUCCAAGCAGCUGUCACUUUAGAGAAAGGAAUAUUGCUCUUUUACAGCUGAAGUAUACUGACCUUUACAACCAACAAACGGAAGAGGAAAAGCAACAAAAAAGAUGCCCACACUUUCAUCAUGCAUGUUCCCAUUUUCUGAGAAAGCAAAAGUAAAAAAAAAAGAAAAAAAAAGGGAAAAGAUGACUGGAGAUGGAGAAAAGCUGAGGAGGAAAUGGAAAGCAUGGCACACCCAUACCCAUUGUCAUUGAUGAAUAUUUUAUUAAGUUGUUUUCUGCAAACUGGAGCAAUUAUUAUAUAGUUAUACUGAUGUGUAAAGAAGGCAGCAUGCCCAAAAAAAAAAGGGCUGGAAUGUUAUGUGGAGGGCGAAAACCCAUAUGCCCAAAAGAGCUAGGCCUUAUGGCUUCAAACUCCAAUUUUCAUCCCUUCAAUUAAGGUUCACCCUAUAUUAUCACCAACCAGGUGAUCAAAAGUACGUCCAGUCCUCUAAAAUUAUUCGGCAGCUACCACUAUUAUCACCAACCAGGUGAUCAAAAGUACGUCCAAUACUCCAAAAUUAUUUGGCAGCCUGCCGCUAUUAUCACCAACCAGGUGAUCAAAAGUACGUCCAGUACUUCAAAAUUAUACAUGAUCAUCACUCAUGUCAAUCAUACAGAAACAUUCAUGAGCAUCACUUAUGUCAACAUUCAUAAGCAUCACUCAUAUCAACAUUCAUGAGCAUCACUCAUGUCAAUCAGAUUCGAAAGCUUCAUUUACAGAGCUCUAGCUUCGAGAGCUCUAUUUACAAGAGCUCCAGCUUUGAAAGCUUCAUUUACAAAAGCUCCGACUUCAAAGCUUCAUUUACAAAAGCUUCAGCUUCAAAGCUUCACUUUCAAAGCUUCACUUUCAAAGCUUCACCUACAAAGCUUCAGUGCAUGGUAUACAAAGACCGCCUCCGAACAACCGCCUCCGAACAACCGCCACUUCAACCCAUACAUGGAUUGAAUUUGAAGUCUCCAGCCAACAACCUCUAUUGACUGAAGACUUGGGGGACUACACUAUGUACCAUAUAUUGGGCUUCCGCAACUGGGCCUCAUGAAAAAUAUUUGGGGGACUUAGGCCAUUAUUUAUGUACUAAGGAGCGAACCCUUAUUUUAUAAAAGGGACUCCCUCACUUUCAUUAGAGAGCACCCAUUAUUUAUGUACUGAGGAGCGAACCCUUAUUCUAUAAAAGAGACUCCUUCACUUUCAUUAAAGAGCACC
rnacentral:lncRNA from 1 species